GUGGGGAAUAUUGGACAAUGGGGGGAACCCUGAUCCAGCCAUGCCGCGUGUGUGAAGAAGGCCUUUUGGUUGUAAAGCACUUUAAGCGAGGAGGAGGCUACCGAGAUUAAUACUCUUGGAUAGUGGACGUUACUCGCAGAAUAAGCACCGGCUAACUCUGUGCCAGCAGCCGCGGUAAUACAGAGGGUGCAAGCGUUAAUCGGAUUUACUGGGCGUAAAGCGCGCGUAGGUGGCCAAUUAAGUCAAAUGUGAAAUCCCCGAGCUUAACUUGGGAAUUGCAUUCGAUACUGGUUGGCUAGAGUAUGGGAGAGGAUGGUAGAAUUCCAGGUGUAGCGGUGAAAUGCGUAGAUAUCUGGAGGAAUACCGAUGGCGAAGGCAGCCAUCUGGCCUAAUACUGACACUGAGGUGCGAAAGCAUGGGGAGCAAACAGGAUUAGAUACCCGGGUAGUCC
rnacentral:rRNA from 1 species